GACGACGCUGGCGGCGUGCCUAAUACAUGCAAGUCGAACGAACUCUGGUAUUGAUUGGUGCUUGCAUCAUGAUUUACAUUUGAGUGAGUGGCGAACUGGUGAGUAACACGUGGGAAACCUGCCCAGAAGCGGGGGAUAACACCUGGAAACAGAUGCUAAUACCGCAUAACAACUUGGACCGCAUGGUCCGAGUUUGAAAGAUGGCUUCGGCUAUCACUUUUGGAUGGUCCCGCGGCGUAUUAGCUAGAUGGUGGGGUAACGGCUCACCAUGGCAAUGAUACGUAGCCGACCUGAGAGGGUAAUCGGCCACAUUGGGACUGAGACACGGCCCAAACUCCUACGGGAGGCAGCAGUAGGGAAUCUUCCACAAUGGACGAAAGUCUGAUGGAGCAACGCCGCGUGAGUGAAGAAGGGUUUCGGCUCGUAAAACUCUGUUGUUAAAGAAAGAACAUAUCUGAGAGUAACUGUUCAGGUAUUGACGGUAUUUAACCCAGAAAGCCACGGCUAACUACGUGCCAGCAGCCGCGGUAAUACGUAGGUGGCAAGCGUUGUCCGGGAUUUAUUGGGCGUAAAGCGAGCGCAGGCGGUUUUUUAAGUCUGAUGUGAAAGCCUUUCGGCUCAACCGAAGAAGUGCAUCGGAAACUGGGAAACUUGAGUGCAGAAGAGGACAGUGGAAACUCCAUGUGUAGCGGUGAAAUGCGUAGAUAUAUGGGAAGAACACCAGUGGCGAAAGGCGGCUGUCUGGUCUGUAACUGACGCUGAGGCUCGAAAGUAUGGGUAGCAAACAGGAUUAGAUACCCUGGUAGUCCAUACCGUAAACGAUGAAUGCUAAGUGUUGGAGGGUUUCCGCCCUUCAGUGCUGCAGCUAACGCAUUAAGCAUUCCGCCUGGGGAGUACGGCCGCAAGGCUGAAACUCAAAGGAAUUGACGGGGGCCCGCACAAGCGGUGGAGCAUGUGGUUUAAUUCGAAGCUACGCGAAGAACCUUACCAGGUCUUGACAUACUAUGCAAAUCUAAGAGAUUAGACGUUCCCUUCGGGGACAUGGAUACAGGUGGUGCAUGGUUGUCGUCAGCUCGUGUCGUGAGAUGUUGGGUUAAGUCCCGCAACGAGCGCAACCCUUAUUAUCAGUUGCCAGCAUUAAGUUGGGCACUCUGGUGAGACUGCCGGUGACAAACCGGAGGAAGGUGGGGAUGACGUCAAAUCAUCAUGCCCCUUAUGACCUGGGCUACACACGUGCUACAAUGGAUGGUACAACGAGUUGCGAACUCGCGAGAGUAAGCUAAUCUCUUAAAGCCAUUCUCAGUUCGGAUUGUAGGCUGCAACUCGCCUACAUGAAGUCGGAAUCGCUAGUAAUCGCGGAUCAGCAUGCCGCGGUGAAUACGUUCCCGGGCCUUGUACACACCGCCCGUCACACCAUGAGAGUUUGUAACACCCAAAGUCGGUGGGGUAACCUUUUAGGAACCAGCCGCCUAAGGUGGGACAGAUGAUUAGGUGAAGUCGACAAGG
rnacentral:rRNA from 2 species